rnacentral:rRNA from 1 species
UGGUGGAGUGAUUUGUCUGGUUAAUUCCGUUAACGAACGAGACCUUAGCCUGCUAACUAGUCGCGGCGAUCUCGAUCGUCGUCGACUUCUUAGAGGGACUUUGUGGCACUAAGCACAAGGAAGUUUGAGGCAAUAACA